rnacentral:snRNA from 1 species
UUCUUUGAUGGCAGUCCAA